rnacentral:rRNA from 1 species
CGGAGGAAAAGAAACCAACAGGGAUUGCCUCAGUAGCGGCGAGUGAAGCGGCAAAAGCUCAAAUUUGAAAUCUGGCGUCUUUGGCGUCCGAGUUGUAAUUUGAAGAAGGUAUCUUUGGGCCCGGCUCUUGUCUAUGUUCCUUGGAACAGGACGUCACAGAGGGUGAGAAUCCCGUGCGAUGAGAUGACCCGGGUCUGUGUAAAGUUCCUUCGACGAGUCGAGUUGUUUGGGAAUGCAGCUCUAAGUGGGUGGUAAAUUCCAUCUAAAGCUAAAUAUUGGCGAGAGACCGAUAGCGAACAAGUACAGUGAUGGAAAGAUGAAAAGAACUUUGAAAAGAGAGUGAAAAAGUACGUGAAAUUGUUGAAAGGGAAGGGCUUGAGAUCAGACUUGGUAUUUUGCAUGCUGCUCUCUCGGGGGCGGCCGCUGCGGUUUACCGGGCCAGCAUCGGUUUGGAGCGGCAGGAUAAUGGCGGAGGAAUGUGGCACGGCUUCUGCUGUGUGUUAUAGCCUCUGACGAUACUGCCAGCCUAGACCGAGGACUGCGGUUUUUACCUAGGAUGUUGGCAUAAUGAUCUUAAGUCGCCCGUCUUGA